rnacentral:lncRNA from 1 species
CUCACUGCAUCUGGUGUUAAUCAUUCGUUAAGCGUUCGUUAUCUGAAGCCUUGUUUGAUUACUCACUGCAAUAACAGGAUUUUGCUUAUGAAAUUAGUGUAUUUAUGCGGGAUUUUAGUCUCGGUUGAGAGAGAGAUUAAGACUAAACUAGGAAAGAUUUGGGAAAAAAGGCAUGGUUUUGAGGUCUAGCUGAAGAUUGGGUGUCUUUAGAUUUGAAGGAUUACUUUGCAACAUGUAAACAUGCUUUCUUAUUAAUCUCAUUCUCUGGGCACUUCAGAAACAACAGUAUUGGCUCAAUUACUGUAGCAUACAUGAUACUGACAGAAAUAAACUUUAGAU